rnacentral:rRNA from 1 species
GGGUCCGCACAAGCGGUGGAGCAUGUGGUUUAAUUCGAUAAUACGCGAGGAACCUUACCUAGGCUAGAAUGCGAGUGACAUCCAGAGAGAUCUGGAGUUCUUCGGACACAAAGCAAGGUGCUGCAUGGUUGUCGUCAGCUCGUGCCGUGAGGUGUUGGGUUAAGUCCCGCAACGAGCGCAACCCCUGUUUUUAGUUGCCAGCAAGUAAUGUUGGGGACUCUAGAAAGACUGCCUGCGUAAGCAGAGAGGAAGGAGGGGACGACGUCAAAUCAGCAUGGCCCUUAUGCCUAGGGCUACACACGUGCUACAAUGGCGUAUACAAAGGGUAGCGAACCAGUGAUGGUAAGCCAAUCUCUAAAAGUACGUCUCAGUUCGGAUUGAAGUCUGCAACUCGACUUCAUGAAGCUGGAAUCGCUAGUAAUCGU